GUUUGAUGUCAUGAAGUGGAAAUGGCCAAAGAUCCAGUAAGAAUGAUGUAAAGUCCAAUUAUCAUGCAAAGACAUUCUGGAGAAUUGCAAAGUGAGUGAAGCCAGAAGAGGAGCACUUCAAAAGCCCUUUGGAGACACGGAAUCACAGCUCUGUGAGGGCCAGAGCUAUGGAAAUCGGAGGAAAUUGGACUUCACCGUGUUGGUGGCACACCCUGCCACCCUUGCCAGGAAAGGAAACGGGAAAAGGAAUCUGAGAAACCUCAGGACAAUUACAGUUCAUUUCCAUACCCUGACUGACAAUGUACUACCUCCUGCUACGGACCGACGUAAGCCUCUUGUCACACCAAGCUCUUAGGCAAAUGGAAUGGGACCAGAUGCAAGCGAUUUAAUAAGAACUUUGCAUAAGUAAUUAUUUAGUUAUUGAUUGUUGCUUGGAGC
rnacentral:lncRNA from 1 species